AGAGUUUGAUCCUGGCUCAGGAUGAACGCUGGCGGUGUGGAUAAGGCAUGCAAGUCGAGCGGCCCGCCAACAUCUUCUUCGCAAGAAGAAGUUGUGGCGGGUAGCGGCGAACGAGUUAGUAACACGUAGGUACCCACCUCUUACACGAGGAUAACCCCGCGAAAGCGGGGAUAAUACCCGAUGGUCCCUGAAGCCGUAAGGCCGAAGGGUAAAGCCCUGAGUUCAUCGAAGGGCGGUAAGAGAGGGGCCUGCGGCCUAUCAGCUUGUUGGCGAGGUAAUGGCUCACCAAGGCUAUGACGGGUAGGGGGCGUGAGAGCGCGACCCCCAACGAUGGGACUGAGAUACGGCCCAUACUCCUACGGGAGGCAGCAGUCGAGAAUAUUGGACAAUGGGGGAAACCCUGAUCCAGCGACACCGCGUGCGGGAUGAAGGCCUUCGGGUUGUAAACCGCUUUUGUCGCCGAUGAAGUCGCAAGACUGACAGUAGGCGAAGAAUAAGGGGAUGCUAAUUCUAUGCCAGCAGCAGCGGUAAUACAGAAUCCCCGAGCGUUAUCCGGAUUUAUUGGGCGUAAAGCGUCCGCAGACGGUUUGAUAAGUCUUUGGUUAAAGCCCGAGAGCUCAACUUUCGGAAUGCCAAGGAAACUGCCAGACUUGAGGAUGUUAGGGGCUGAUAGAACUCUUGGUGGAGGGGUGAAAUCCGUUGAUAUCAAGAGGAAUACCAAAAGCGAAGGCAUUCAGCUGGGGCAAUCCUGACGUUCAUGGACGAAAGCGUGGGUAGCAAAAAGGAUUAGAUACCCUGGUAGUCC
rnacentral:rRNA from 1 species